rnacentral:rRNA from 1 species
GUCUAUGGCCAUGCUACCCUGAACAAACCUGAUCCCAUCUGAUCUUGGAAGCUAAGUAGGGUUGGGCUUGGUUAGUACUUGGAUGGGAGACCACCUAGGAAGACCAGGUGCUGUAGGUG